rnacentral:rRNA from 1 species
UACAGAGGGUGCGAGCGUUGUCCGGAAUCACUGGGCGUAAAGGGCGCGUAGGUGGCGGCCCAAGUCCAUGGUGAAAGCUCGCCGCUUAACGGCGAGUCGGCCACGGAUACUGGGUUGCUCGAGCACUGUAGGGGCAGAUGGAAUUCCGGGUGUAGCGGUGGAAUGCGUAGAGAUCCGGAAGAACACCAGUGGCGAAGGCGGUCUGCUGGGCAGUUGCUGACACUGAGGCGCGACAGCCAGGGGAGCGAACGGG